UUAAAUUGAAGAGUUUGAUCAUGGCUCAGAUUGAACGCUGGCGGCAGGCCUAACACAUGCAAGUCGAACGGUAACAGGAAGCAGCUUGCUGCUUUGCUGACGAGUGGCGGACGGGUGAGUAAUGUCUGGGAAACUGCCUGAUGGAGGGGGAUAACUACUGGAAACGGUAGCUAAUACCGCAUAACGUCGCAAGACCAAAGAGGGGGACCUUCGGGCCUCUUGCCAUCGGAUGUGCCCAGAUGGGAUUAGCUAGUAGGUGGGGUAACGGCUCACCUAGGCGACGAUCCCUAGCUGGUCUGAGAGGAUGACCAGCCACACUGGAACUGAGACACGGUCCAGACUCCUACGGGAGGCAGCAGUGGGGAAUAUUGCACAAUGGGCGCAAGCCUGAUGCAGCCAUGCCGCGUGUAUGAAGAAGGCCUUCGGGUUGUAAAGUACUUUCAGCGGGGAGGAAGGGAGUAAAGUUAAUACCUUUGCUCAUUGACGUUACCCGCAGAAGAAGCACCGGCUAACUCCGUGCCAGCAGCCGCGGUAAUACGGAGGGUGCAAGCGUUAAUCGGAAUUACUGGGCGUAAAGCGCACGCAGGCGGUUUGUUAAGUCAGAUGUGAAAUCCCCGGGCUCAACCUGGGAACUGCAUCUGAUACUGGCAAGCUUGAGUCUCGUAGAGGGGGUAGAAUUCCAGGUGUAGCGGUGAAAUGCGUAGAGAUCUGGAGGAAUACCGGUGGCGAAGGCGGCCCCCUGGACGAAGACUGACGCUCAGGUGCGAAAGCGUGGGGAGCAAACAGGAUUAGAUACCCUGGUAGUCCACGCCGUAAACGAUGUCGACUUGGAGGUUGUGCCCUUGAGGCGUGGCUUCCGGAGCUAACGUGUUAAGUCGACCGCCUGGGGAGUACGGCCGCAAGGUUAAAACUCAAAUGAAUUGACGGGGGCCCGCACAAGCGGUGGAGCAUGUGGUUUAAUUCGAUGCAACGCGAAGAACCUUACCUGGUCUUGACAUCCACGGAAGUUUUCAGAGAUGAGAAUGUGCCUUCGGGAACCGUGAGACAGGUGCUGCAUGGCUGUCGUCAGCUCGUGUUGUGAAAUGUUGGGUUAAGUCCCGCAACGAGCGCAACCCUUAUCCUUUGUUGCCAGCGGUCCGGCCGGGAACUCAAAGGAGACUGCCAGUGAUAAACUGGAGGAAGGUGGGGAUGACGUCAAGUCAUCAUGGCCCUUACGACCAGGGCUACACACGUGCUACAAUGGCGCAUACAAAGAGAAGCGACCUCGCGAGAGCAAGCGGACCUCAUAAAGUGCGUCGUAGUCCGGAUUGGAGUCUGCAACUCGACUCCAUGAAGUCGGAAUCGCUAGUAAUCGUGGAUCAGAAUGCCACGGUGAAUACGUUCCCGGGCCUUGUACACACCGCCCGUCACACCAUGGGAGUGGGUUGCAAAAGAAGUAGGUAGCUUAACCUUCGGGAGGGCGCUUACCACUUUGUGAUUCAUGACUGGGGUGAAGUCGUAACAAGGUAACCGUAGGGGAACCUGCGGUUGGAUCACCUCCUUACCUUAAAGAAGC
rnacentral:rRNA from 1 species